GGAAGUAUCUUCAAAAUUGGAUCAUAAAUCGAUCGAACUUGCAAAAGCUUUUUCUUGGCUUCUCUUCUUCUCCCCGGAUUCAGGUUGGGUGGUGGGGAGGCAAAGAAUUUUCGGGCAAAUCACGAGCUGGAUGCUCGGGCGGGGAUCGAAAUCGAUGAGAUACUAGUAGGAAGUAGAAGGGAUUUCGAUCGGGGGAUUGGGGAAGAAGUAAACAGGAAGGAAAUGCUGCUGCUUUUUUUUUUCUGUUUCUCUUUUGGUUUGUGGAUGGUUGCGUAACGCUCCACUCCCAAAAGUGGCCGCUUUUUCGGCAACUAGGAUUUAGGGGCUUUGCCAGAAUAUUUAGGAUUUGUAACAUUUGCCCGCCACUAAUUUCGAGUGAUAUAUAUACUUUUCUUUUUCGCCCCAAAAAAGGAUUUAGGACAAAGAAGUGUGAAUUACAG
rnacentral:lncRNA from 1 species